GACGAACGCUGGCGGCGUGCUUAACACAUGCAAGUCGAACGGAAAGGCCCUGCUUUUGUGGGGUGCUCGAGUGGCGAACGGGUGAGUAACACGUGAGUAACCUGCCCUUGACUUUGGGAUAACUUCAGGAAACUGGGGCUAAUACCGGAUAGGAGCUCCUGCUGCAUGGUGGGGGUUGGAAAGUUUCGGCGGUUGGGGAUGGACUCGCGGCUUAUCAGCUUGUUGGUGGGGUAGUGGCUUACCAAGGCUUUGACGGGUAGCCGGCCUGGGAGGGUGACCGGCACCAUGGGACCUGAGAUCGGGCCCGAACUCUUACGGGGGGCAGCGGUGGGGAUAAUUGCACAUUGGGCGGAGCCCGAAUGCAGAAACGCCGCUUGGGGAAUGCCGGCUUUGGGGUUGUAACCGCUUUCGCCUGUGACGAAGCGUGAGUGACGGUAAUGGGUAAAGAAGCACCGGCUAACUACGUG
rnacentral:rRNA from 1 species